rnacentral:tRNA from 1 species
GGUUCCGUAGCUCAAUUGGAUAGAGCAACUGCCUUCUAAGCAGUAGGUUACAGGUUCGAUUCCUGUCGGAAUCA